rnacentral:lncRNA from 1 species
CAGUUGGGUCCCACCAGGGCUCCAGAGCCCAAGACUCAGCAUCCAUGGGCGGCUCUGGGAAGCCUGGCAGCUCCACUAACUGGCUUUAAACAACAGAAAUAUAUCUUUUUUUUUUUUUUUUGACAGAGUCUCGCUCUGUCACCCAGGCUGGAGUGCAGUGGUGCAAUCUCGGUUCACUGCAGCCUCCACCUCCUGGGUUCAAGCAAUUCUCCUGCCUCAGCCUCCCCUUCCAGGCUGGAAUGUAGUGGCACGAUCACAGAUCACUGUACCAAACUUGCCAGACUCAAGCAAUCCUCCCACCUCAGCCUCCUGUAUAGGUGGGACUACAGACACAUGCCACCAUGCCCAGCUAAUUGUAUUUAUUUCUUUAUAGAGAUGGGGUCUCCGUCUAAUAAUCCUUCCAUUCUCUAAUCUUUUGCCUGGAUUCGUCCUGCUAAUGCUUCAAGUAAUAUCCUUGUCUUCUGUGUUGCAGAAGUAGAGAGUAUGAAUUCACCAGGAAAUGUGUAUAAUCUCAGUCCUCUGAAAUUCAGAAUGAAUCUGAUGGAGAGGUAAAAGCAACAGAGUCAAAGGAGUUCCUUAAGUCACAUGAGGAAUUGUAGUGGUUUUUGCAUUUUUAUGGCUCUUGAUAGUUGGAAAUUUCCUUUACUAGUUUUUAAAGCAUUCCCUUUGGAUAAGUUAAUAAUGGUAACUGACUUUUCUGUUAAAGUCAGACAAAAUGCACACUUUAUAGUUUCAAGAUUUUCAGUAAAUAAAAUCUGUCCAUUCCUACCUGGACAUGUCCCAUUAAAAAGUGGAAGAUUUUAAAUAAUUUCUUUACAGAGAGAAAGAACCCUAUUGUGAACUGCGCAUGCUAGCAAUCUAGGUUGUGUGCUCCUUAUGAGAAUCUAAUGCCUGAUGAUUUGAGGUGGAACAGUUUUAUCCUGAAACCAUUCCCCCCAUCCCCCCAGUCCGUGGAAAAAUUGUCUUCCACAACACCCAUCCCUGGUGCCAAAAAGGUUGGCAACCACUGAUGUAGAGGGUAGAACAAGAUCUCUCCAGUAUCAGGAGAUGAGGUGAAGAGAAGGAAAGCUUCUCAUUUGCAUAAUGCCUUGAAAUGACCCUAGGUUUCUAGCGGGCACCGAGAAACCAGAGAUGCCCCUUGUUGUCUGUCUGGGAGAUCCAAGGAGACAUCUGGCAGUGUUGAGAAGAGAUGAAGGUGACAGCUGUAGGUCCUUCACCCUCAGCUUCUAUUUGUUCACCUAUAAAGUUAAAAUACGGAACACUCAGGCUUGUAAGAAUUAAAUGAAGGACACAAACCCUGGCACAGUUGCUUGGUAAGUGCUCAAUCCAACGAUAUUCAAUCCUAUUUCACAAAGAGGGAUUUUUUGUUUGUUUUGUUGUUUGUUUCUUUACCUCCUUGCUACACCGACGCUAAAAGAGUUUAAUAGUACUCUGUUCACAUUUUCCAAAAACAAGAAUACACAUUAAAAAUGUAUAAAAUGGGCCAGGCCCAGUGGCUUACACCUGUAAUCCCAGCACUUUGGAAGGCCAAGGCAGGCGGAUCACCUAAGGUUGAGAGUUCCAGGCCAGCCUGACCAAUAUGGAGAAACCCCGUCUCUACUAAAAAUACAAAAUUAGCCAGGCAUGGUGGUGCAUGCCUGUAAUCCCAGCUACUUGGGAGGCUGAAGCAGGAGAAUUGCUUGAACCCGGGAGGCAGAGGUUGCAGUGAGCCGAGAUCACGCCAUUGCA